UCUCAUGUGUUUUCAGGUCUGCUGACCUACUGAAUCUCUUGUCACAGUGUGAACACUCAAAAGGUUUCUCUCCAGUGUGGAUCCUCUCAUGUGUUUUCAGGUCUCCUGACUGAGUGAAUCUCUUGUCACAGUGUGAACACUUAAAAGGUUUCUCUCCAGUGUGGAUCCUCUCAUGUGUUUUCAGAUACGUUGAGUUUCUGAAUCUCUUGUCACAGUGUGAACACUCAUAAGGUUUUUCUCCAGUGUGGAUCCUCUCAUGUGUUAUCAGAUGUACUGACUGAUUGAAUCUCUUGUCACAGUGUGAACACUCAAAUGGUUUUU